GGUAAAAAUAGUAAUUGAGUAAGGAGUAACUUAUGGAAGAUGUUAAAUAGGGUGGUGUGGAUUACUAAACAGCUAAACGGUUUCUUCACGCUGGUUGAGGCCACAGGGUUCAAAAGUGCCAGCGCGAGCUAUCAGUGUAGCUUCUCUUGCUUUGCGGAUAGAGUCGCGGUUAUUUCUUAUUUUUUCAAUAGGUAUGAGCUCUAGGUCAGAAGCGGAGUGGUUAGGUUUUAGGAAGUGUUCAGCGGCGUGGGUUGGUGUGGAUCGAGAUUGGGAGUCUACAGUUCUGCGGUGGUCAUUAAAGUGUUUUUUUUAAUUUGCGUUUAGUUUCCCCUGAAUAUAUUGAAGGUUACAGCGGUUACAUUGGAUCAUAUAAAUCACGUUUUUAGUAUUGCAUGUUAUGUGGGAGGUUAUAGGUCGUGUUUCACCUGUUGAGAAAAAUGUGUAGCUUGUCAGGCCAUCGGUUCUAAUAUAGGGGCAGGUUAGGCAGAUUUUUCCGCAACGGAAAGCACCGGGAGGUUGGUUGGUGGGAGAGCGGUCGGAAGGUAGCUUGGCUUUAACAAGGAUGUCGCGGAGUAGGUGAACGGCGAGAGGCGACAAGAGGGGGCUCAGUGAAAACCUUAUGGCAUCGCUCAGCAACCUACUAACAGACUCUCUCUUGGUCACACUCGACGUCUCUGCCUCGCUCCGUGUUCAGCCGAGCGGUACGCUCGAACAGAAUUAACAUCAACGUUUUAACGUGGCAGAGCGCAGCGACUGAACAACAAUAGAAACCUGCUUAAAAUGUAUUUACCAACAACGUGAACGCAAACAGUGAGCGUUCUUUUGAGAUGACGCUUGUGAAAAUAAAGAAACCUGAGAACU